rnacentral:lncRNA from 1 species
GAUUUGACUGUAUAUAUAUAUAGAGUAGGGCUAGAAUACUUUUACAAGUAUCACCCAAGUGAUACUUGUGUGUUUUUAGCCAUUGGAUCUACUUUUUGAUUACUAAUAGUUCUUGGAUCAAACACUAUUCCACCUACCACCACCUAUCACCACCUACCACCAUCAUCUCAACCUCACAUCUCUCCAUCCAAGAGCUAAAAACACACAAGUAUCACUUGGGUGAUACUUUUACAAGUAUUCUAGCUCUACUCUAUAUAUAUAUAUAUUAAUGCAAUUGGGUUCUAAAAUUUGGAUUAAAAAAUGUUUUAUAUAUAUAUUUAUAUUAGUUCAGGAGUUCAUAUAUUUUUUUUACAUUUUUAGGAUCAAUAAAAGUUAAAAAUUGUAAGAUAUAUAAACGUUUAGUUUGUAUAAGUGUAUAGAUAAUAUUUGCUUUUUUG